rnacentral:lncRNA from 1 species
GUUACAUAUUUGUUUUUCGUUCAUUUUUUUUUUAUAUAAUUAAGGCCGUUAGUUUUCUCGUUUGAAUUGUUUUACAUUGUCAUAUCGGGGACUUUUAUAGCUGACUAUGCGGUAUGGGCUUUGCUCAUUGUUGAAGGCCGUACGGUGAUCUAUAAAUGUUAAUUUCUGUGUCAUUUUGGUCUCUUGUGGACAGCUGUCUCAUUGGCAAUCAUACCACAUCUUCUUUUUUAUUAUAGAUCCAACGCUGCAAUUUUCACAAAACAUAUCAAAUUGCCACCUUGUCGCACAUACAUAUUGAUAAAAUCAUUACAGCUUAUUUCUUAUGCAUGUGGAGCAAAACUUUGGUUAGCUUGCUUACUUGUUUGUAUAUUGUACAAAAUAUAAAAUAUACAAGUUAAACUAUGCCUAUAUAUAUAUAUUGUUUAAAUAUGUCAAUCUUGUUUUCAAAGCUUGUAUAAACAACUAUACAAACAAAGCAAGCAAGCCAACCAAAGUUUUACUUUGCAGGUUUAAGAAAUCAGCUGUAAUGAUUUUAUUCAGUUUGGCAAAUGUCCGAGCCCGUUAAAAAACGAAUAAACUGAAACUACAGUUGCUGACUUCGCUGCCUUCAACAAAAAAGGGAACAGUUUGGAAGUCCCAUAUACUGAAAUGUGACCAACAAAAAUACUUAUAAAUUUUGUUAACACUGCCAUGUAUGUGAAUAUUUCUUCGCCUUUUUUACGAACACAAAAUUCAAGGAUCCCACAUUUGCCUUUAAUUAUCUAUACGAACAUUGCUGUACUCUUGAAUAUCAGCACCGGCUGUUAUCGACGGCUUACUUUACACCAGAAAGUUUGUCUCAUGGGUAAUUGUGUGUUUUCGCUGUUGUUUCGUUGCUUCUGGUGGAGAAAUACAUGAAAUCUCUGUGCCAUCAUCAAACAUGUUAUUGGCUAUAUAUCGGGUAAUUCAAACCCUUUUUUCUUCACAUAGAAACAACUUUUCGUUAAUCUGAGCAUGGAAGUAAUACUUUAUAUCACGAACUAUAAAUGAGGAUACACAAAAUGAAAAACUAAGCGAAAUUGUGAAUCCCGCAUUGCACGAAAAAAUGUGUUGUAUUUCAGUAAAUAACACGUGUUCUUGGUUGAUUGUAAACACGUAGUAGUCCAUCAUGCAUUGUGACUCAUUUAGUGGAUUGGUCAAAAACCUAGGUAAAAAUAAAUUGCGUCACAUGUAAAUAAACAAUUACAUGUGCGAGAACAUAAGUAUGCUAAUUUAUGCAUUUCCAUAUAAGGUAGUGGUCCCGACCUGUUAAA